rnacentral:misc_RNA from 1 species
GAUGAAGAACGUAGCGAAAUGUGAUAAGUAAUGUGAAUUGCAGAAUUCAGUGAAUCAUCGAGUCUUUGAACGCACAUUGCGCCCCCUGGUAUUCCGGGGGGCAUGCCUGUCCGAGCGUCAUUGCUGCCCUCAAGCACGGCUUGUGUGUUGGGCCCCCGUCCCCGGUUUCCCCCGGGGACGGGCCCGAAAGGCAGCGGCGGCACCGCGUCCGGUCCUCGAGCGUAUGGGGCUUUGUCACCCGCUCUGUAGGCCCGGCCGGCGCCAGCCGACACCCAACUUUAUUUCUAAGGUUGACCUCGGAUCAGGUAGGGAUACCCGCUGAACUUAAGCAUAUCAAUAAGCGGAGGA